GACCUCCCCUGCUCAGACCAGCCUUUUGCACAGAUCCCACCUCUCCUCCACAGAGCAAAGCCCCUUCCCCUCCACCAGAAAGCCUCAGAGUGAGGCAACAAGGACUUGAACCUCUUCCCCUCCCAGCACUAUAUCUGGCUGGAAGCAAGUGCUCUCACCACUAGACUACUGGGGAGGAAAAAAAAUAAAAAAUCUUGGCAAAUACAGCAACUUCCUCGGGACUUUGAUGUUUGAUUGUGGAAGGCUGUGAAAGGGUGAGGCCAUCCAUAUACCUAAGGCAGUCAGGAGCAAAGGCAUGAAAAGGAGACUUUUUUUCAAGAAACAUACACUUUUGUGAUUUUUUACUGGAGUUGGGGUAUUUUUGCUAUUGAUCAUAGUGGCAGCAAAGGCAGGUCUAGACUGUGCAUGUAUCAGGCUGAUACAACACAAGUUCUCCCACCUAUGGCUAGUCAAAAGCCUUGAUUUCAGUAGAAAAGCUUACUCACCAUACAAUGGCCCAUCAAAUAAUGCCACCUGGCCUGCACUAAUCAGAUCUGACUGUAAAAUGUAUGAGUGGCUCUGACAGUAACAGAAACAGGAUGUUGGUGGUUGGCAGGAAGUUCAGGUGUUAGAAUACAAGAAAGUCAGAAGUGCUUCCUCAUCGGCACUUGGGUUUACAUCUAUCAGAAAGUAUUUGACCUAAUUUAGGAGAAUCAUGCUGCACAUCAGGUUAAUUGGCACCUCAUCAAAGAUAAAUUUGAAUUUGCUUGCUCUUGAAUUUCCUCAGCUUGCCAGUGCUCAAAUAUUUAACAGCUCCAUUCUGCUUUUUUUUUUCUUCCUCACAACACGAAUAACAGUGAGGUUUUAUGAGAAGGCUCCUACAUAAAUGAAAUCCUUUGAUUCUCCAUUUCAUAUAUGACUUUCCUAAUACACAAGGGACUUCAGGCUUAGAUACGGUCAUUCGGUCAACUGCUCUGACAUGUAAUCACAUGUAAGACCUACUGAAUGUUGAGGAUAAGGCCUCCUCUAUGAAAUUCUUGACUGUUCAUCCCUCACAGAAAGAUACCAUAUAUUUAUGCUGCUCAGUGCAGACUUACUUCUGCCCUGUGGCCUUAUACCUAGCUAUGGAUGACUGUGUAAUGAAAUAACCAGACCUGCACCGAGCUCUGGAUGAUGGAUACGUGCUCCUUACAGCCUGUUUUCCAGCAGCCUCUGUUUUUCAGCAAGCACACAGAAGCCUUGGGUGAAGACCCUCCACCAACGCCAGAACUGGGCACACCUGGAGGACAUGUUGUUCCAUGAAGUCCGCUGCUCACUCUUAUUGAUGCAGGGAGAAGAAAUAAGAAAAAUGCUUGUAUAUUGUAUUCCACUAGUGCUCUAUAAACCUAAUAGCUGGACUUUGACCAAUAUUUAGCUACCAGUUCCUAUGGAAAGGGGUUUGGUUGCUUUGCAUAAACAACCCAGGCUUUGCAGAGAGCUUUCUACAGAGGCAACAGAGAGAAAUCACAUCACAAAACCAUUCACUCUUCUUUUCCACCCCAGUGACGCUUAAGGAGUUUAUUUGCACUUGCACACAAUCUGUGGGAUGGGAAUCCCGUUUAAAACAACUCUGCAGGCUUCAGACGCCUUGCAAAAGUGCUGCACUAGUGCUUUCUCUGCCUUGCUGCAAGUGAGCAAGGCAGAGAAAGGACAGAGAGGA